rnacentral:rRNA from 1 species
UACGUAGGGGGCAAGCGUUGUCCGGAUUUAUUGGGCGUAAAGAGCGUGUAGGCGCCAGACAGGUCCGUUGUGAAAACUCGAGGCUCAACCUCGAGACGCCGAUGGAAACCGUCUGGCUAGAGUCCGGAAGAGGAGAGUGGAAUUCCUGGUGUAGCGGUGAAAAUGCGCAGAUAUCAGGAAGAACACCCGUGGCUAAGGCGGCUCUCUAGUACGGUACUGACGCUGAGACGCGAAAGCGUGGGGAGCGAACAGGA